rnacentral:rRNA from 1 species
GAUGGGGUUAGCCGUAAGGCGAAGCUCCUGAUCGAAGCCCCAGUAAACGGCGGCCGUAACUAUAACGGUCCUAAGGUAGCGAAAUUCCUUGUCGGGUAAGUUCCGACCUGCACGAAUGGCGUAAUGAUGGCCAGGCUGUCUCCACCCGAGACUCAGUGAAAUUGAACUCGCUGUGAAGAUGCAGUGUACCCGCGGCAAGACGGAAAGACCCCGUGAACCUUUACUAUAGCUUGACACUGAACAUUGAGCCUUGAUGUGUAGGAUAGGUGGGAGGCUUUGAAGUGUGGACGCCAGUCUGCAUGGAGCCAACCUUGAAAUACCACCCUUUAACGUUUGAUGUUCUAACCUAGGCCCAUAAACUGGGUCGGGGACCGUGUCUGGUGGGUAGUUUGACUGGGGCGGUCUCCUCCUAAAGAGUAACGGAGGAGCACGAAGGUUGGCUAAGCAUGGUCGGACAUCAUGCGGUUAGUGCAAAGGCAUAAGCCAGCUUGACUGCGAGAGUGACGGCUCGAGCAGGUACGAAAGUAGGUCUUAGUGAUCCGGUGGUUCUGAAUGGAAGGGCCAUCGCUCAACGGAUAAAAGGUACUCCGGGGAUAACAGGCUGAUACCGCCCAAGAGUUCAUAUCGACGGCGGUGUUUGGCACCUCGAUGUCGGCUCAUCACAUCCUGGGGCUGAAGUAGGUCCCAAGGGUAUGGCUGUUCGCCAUUUAAAGUGGUACGCGAGCUGGGUUUAGAACGUCGUGAGACAGUUCGGUCCCUAUCUGCCGUGGGCGUUGGAAGAUUGAGAGGGGUUGCUCCUAGUACGAGAGGACCGGAGUGAACGCACCACUGGUGUUCGGGUUGUCAUGCCAAUGGCAUUGCCCGGUAGCUAAGUGCGGAAGAGAUAACCGCUGAAAGCAUCUAAGCGGGAAACUUGCC